rnacentral:rRNA from 1 species
CAAACAGGAUUAGAUACCCUGGUAGUCACGCCGUAAACGAUGAAUGCUAGGUGUUGGGAGUCAAAUCUCGGUGCCGAAGUUAACACAUUAAGCAUUCCGCCUGGGGAGUACGGUGGCAACACUGAAGCUCAAAGGAAUUGACGGGGACCCGCACAAGCAGCGGAGCAUGUGGUUUAAUUCGAAGCAACGCGAAGAACCUUACCAAGGCUUGACAUAUAGUUGAGUUAUUGAGAAAUUGAUAAGUCCCUCGGGACAACUAUACAGGUGGUGCAUGGUUGUCGUCAGCUCGUGUCGUGAGAUGUUGGGUUAAGUCCCGCAACGAGCGCGACCCUUAUCCUCAGUUGCCAGCACGUAGAGGUGGGAACUCUGGAGAGACUGCCGAUGACAAAUCGGAGGAAGGUGGGGAUGACGUCAAAUCAUCAUGCCCUUUAUGUCUUGGGCUACACACGUGCUACAAUGGUUGGUACAACGAGAAGCGAGAUAGAGAUGUUAAGCGAAACUCUAAAAACCAAUCUCAGUUCGGAUUGUAGGCUGCGACUCGCCUACAUGAAGUCGGAGUUGCUAGUAAUCGCGAAUCAGAAUGUCGCGGUGAAUGCGUUCCCGGGUCUUGUACACACCGCCCGUCACACCAUGGGAGUUGGCAAUUCCCGAAGCCGCCGAUCUAACCGCAAGGAGGAAGGCGUCGAAGGUAGGGUUGUACUGGGGUGAAGUCGUAACAAGGUAACGG